rnacentral:rRNA from 1 species
CAGUUCGGAUUGUAGGCUGCAACUCGCCUACACGAAGUUGGAAUCGCUAGUAAUCGCGAAUCAGAAUGUCGCGGUGAAUACGUUCCCGGGUCUUGUACACACCGCCCGUCACACCACGAGAGUUUACAACACCCGAAGUCAGUGGCCUAACCGCAAGGAGGGAGCUGCCUAAGGUGGGGUAGAUGAUUAGGGUUAAGUCGUAACAAGGUAGC